rnacentral:rRNA from 1 species
UCUCUGUUGAACUGGAACGCAAGGGGCCUGAAUGACCGCGCCCGUAGAUGGGGUGUGCGAUCGCUCGUGGAGCAGUCUAGAUGCUCGAUCCUUUGUGUGCAGGAAACCAAGCGCGAAGCAAUUCUGGCUGCCAUGCUUGCUGAGAUCGUAGGGCCGAGGUUGGGGAGCUCGUUGGUUCUGCCUGCGGCUGGAACGCGGGGAGGAGUUCUAUUGGCCUGG